AUCAUUGGUAUACUGCCGAAAAAGAGAAAACCAUGCCAACGAUAGGAUGCAAUAUCAUGGUUUAGUUCCAUGCAGGGCACUCAUUCUCGUACCCAGAGCUCUUCUUACGUGCGUUCGAUCGAGCGCGACGAGGAGCUCUGGCCAAAUCCAUAACCGGAUACCAUAAAACAUGGUAAGAGAACAACAUCCGGUAUUUGGCAUUGAACUAUGGCUCACAAUUUAACUAUUGACCACAAUUUAAC